GACGAACGCUGGCGGCGUGCUUAACACGUGCAAGUCGAACGCUGAACCCGCUUCGGUGGGGGAUGAGUGGCGAACGGGUGAGUAACACGUGGGCAACCUGCCCCCGGCUCUGGGAUAACUCCAAGAAAUUGGGGCUAAUACCGGAUGUGACCGCUGGCCGCAUGGUCUGGUGGUGGAAAGGGUUUCCGGCUGGGGAUGGGCCCGCGGCCUAUCAGCUUGUUGGUGGGGUAGUGGCCUACCAAGGCGACGACGGGUAGCCGGCCUGAGAGGGUGACCGGCCACACUGGGACUGAGACACGGCCCAGACUCCUACGGGAGGCAGCAGUGGGGAAUAUUGCGCAAUGGGCGGAAGCCUGACGCAGCGACGCCGCGUGGGGGAUGACGGCCUUCGGGUUGUAAACCUCUUUCAGCAGGGACGAAGCGCAAGUGACGGUACCUGCAGAAGAAGCACCGGCCAACUACGUG
rnacentral:rRNA from 1 species